rnacentral:rRNA from 1 species
AACGAACGCUGGCGGCAUGCCUAACACAUGCAAGUCGAACGAGACCUUCGGGUCUUGUGGCGCACGGGUGCGUAACGCGUGGGAACCUGCCCUUAGGUUCGGAAUAACUCCCCGAAAGGGGUGCUAAUACCGGAUCAUGUCUUCGGACCAAAGAUUUAUCGCCUUUGGAUGGGCCCGCGUUGGAUUAGCUAGUUGGUAGGGUAAAAGCCUACCAAGGCGACGAUCCAUAGCUGGUCUGAGAGGAUGAUCAGCCACACUGGGACUGAGACACGGCCCAGACUCCUACGGGAGGCAGCAGUGGGGAAUAUUGGACAGUGGGCGAAAGCCUGAUCCAGCAAUGCCGCGUGAGUUAUGAAGGCCUUAGGGUUGUAAAGCUCUUUUACCCGGGAUGAUAAUGACAGUACCGGGAGAAUAAGCCCCGGCUAACUCCGUG